GACUAAAAACUCUUUAGACCUUGAAGAUGAACACUUCCCAAAAUCAAGCAUGGAGAUUGUCUUGAGCAAUGCAUAACCAAUUACUCCCAUAACACAAGUGACGACCAAUGAUGAUUUUGCUACAAGGAAUAUAACACAUAAUGUUUUGCUGAUUGAAUCCUAAAAAACAUUUUCUCCAUCCAUAAAUUAUAGGGUCCUCUUUUUAUGGAUAC
rnacentral:lncRNA from 1 species